rnacentral:sRNA from 1 species
GUCUAGGUGGGUGCCUCUGUCUCUCCUCUCUCUUCCCAAGUGUGCUGCCCACAGCAUUUUACCAGCUGGCUCUUUCCAGCCAGAGUGGCCUAGGAAGGCGGCUGGGUGUGGUACUGGGGUCCAGCUUGUCACACCCAGCCCUGCAACUGUGGGGACAGUGCACCGUGGCUCACACCCCCACCCCCGUGUUCCAGAGCUGCCUGGAUUGACAAGUGCCGCCCCAACCUGCUCAUCACAGAGUCCACGUAUGCCACGACCAUCCGUGACUCCAAGCGCUGCCGGGAGCGAGACUUCCUGAAGAAAGUCCACGAGACCGUGGAGCGUGGUGGGAAGGUAGCUGCAGCAGGGGUGGGAACACGGGCCCUCAGCCAUGCUGGGCAGGUCCUUCCAGCAGGCUUGGCUGCCCUUGGCGUGGGUCGGGGUCUCAGGGCGGGGGGUACUGCAUUUUCAGGCAGGGAGGGAGGAAGAUUUGCUCAGCAUUGAGGAGGAAAACUCAGAGACCCUUUCCUAGGGAGCCCCUUUUCCUCUCCUACCUCAGAUUCUGACGAAGCCCUGGCCAGGCCCCAUGCAGCUCCUUUCUGUUUCUGGAGAGUGGCUGGGACAGGACUGGAAGCAGAUGAGAGAGGCUAAGGUCCCUAUGAGGACGCAGCUCUUGGGCACCUGGCUGUGCCCUCACUGGACGCUGCCUGCUGUGUCAAGGGGCCACGUACGUGCCCAGGGCUCCUGCCUUGUGUCCCCCUCAGGUGCUGAUACCCGUGUUCGCGCUGGGCCGCGCCCAGGAGCUCUGCAUCCUCCUGGAGACCUUCUGGUAGGUGCCGCCAGGACGGCCCUUUAAGGAGCCCCUGGCCCGCCCUGAACACAGUCCAGUUGGUGGGCAGCCCUGUUCAGCGUACCGGUGGCAUCUUGGCCCUGCUUGCUGCUGUCCUGGGGGGCCGCUCGUGUGCUGUGUGACCCCAGGAGGCCUGUGACAUCCCGUCAGCGCCACUGUCUGUGGCUCUUGUAGGGGUUCCUGGUUCUCCGCUGAGCCCGACUGCUGCAGGGCUUAAUGGGACAUAGGCUGAGGGCACUGGCCUCCUGUGGUCGUGACUGGAUUCAUCCUGUCCUGUGCAUGAGCUGUGCAGACACGGGUGUGGGGGGUGACCCGGCCGAGUCCUGCCCUGCAGUGUCCUCCCCUGUGGCCGCUGUGCUGACUGGGCCGGUGGUCCCCAGGGAGCGCAUGAACCUGAAGGUGCCCAUCUACUUCUCCACGGGGCUGACUGAGAAGGCCAACCACUACUACAAGCUGUUCAUCCCCUGGACCAACCAGAAGAUCCGCAAGACUUUCGUGCAGAGGAACAUGUUUGAGUUCAAGCACAUCAAGGCCUUCGACCGGGCUUUUGCCGACAACCCAGGACCGAUGGUUGUGUUUGCCACGCCAGGAAUGCUGCACGCUGGGCAGUCCCUGCAGAUCUUCCGGAAAUGGGCCGGAAAUGAAAAGAACAUGGUAAGGGUAUGGUGAGGUGCGGGAACCUGGAAGCUGGAGGCCGGCGGGUUGUCCUUCCACCCACGCUGUCUCUGAGCUCUCGCUGGCCUGGCCUCGCGCUGGUCAAGGGACGUGGCUGCUGCUGCUGGGGAACAGGGGCGAUGUCCGCCUGGAGCUGCUCAGUCUCUCUGUGACGCAGCCCGUCCACCUCAGGCAGAACAGCCCCAGCCCAGCCCUGGACAGUCUUGUGCCAAAACCUGAGCCCUUUGGAGUCUGCAGCUAGGCUUGGUCGGGCACCGCUGGCAGGUGGAAGCAGCUUCCAGGGCUUCAGGUGGGGGCAUCCUGGGGAAGGCCUUGAGGUGCCAAGGCUGGAGCCCCCUGGCUGUGAGCUCUGUGCCCGCCCAGGUCAUCAUGCCCGGCUACUGCGUGCAGGGCACCGUCGGCCACAAGAUCCUCAGCGGUCAGCGGAAGCUCGAGAUGGAGGGGCGGCAGGUGCUGGAGGUCAAGAUGCAGGUGGAGUACAUGUCAUUCAGUGCACACGCAGACGCCAAGGGCAUCAUGCAGCUGGUGGGCCAGGCAGAGCCGGAGAGCGUGCUGUUGGUGCAUGGCGAGGCCAAGAAGAUGGAGUUCCUGAAGCAGAAGAUCGAGCAGGAGCUCCGUAGGCAGCCAGGCGGGCGGUGUGGGGCCCACCUCGGGUCAGCGCAGGCAGCCUGGGCUGAGGCUCUCUCUUCCCCCGGGGUCCAGGGGUCAGCUGCUACAUGCCGGCCAAUGGUGAGACGGUGACGCUGCCCACAAGCCCCAGCAUCCCCGUAGGCAUCUCGCUGGGGCUGCUGAAGCGGGAGAUGGCGCAGGGGCUGCUCCCUGAGGCCAAGAAGCCUCGGCUCCUGCACGGCACCCUGAUCAUGAAGGACAGUGUGAGUGCCAGGACGGCCUCUGGAGGGGGGAGGGCUGCUGCUGCGCUCCCUGACCUGUCCCUGCCCCACAGAACUUCCGGCUGGUGUCCUCAGAGCAAGCCCUCAAAGAGCUGGGUCUGGCUGAGCACCAGCUGCGCUUCACCUGCCGCGUGCACCUGCAUGACACGCGCAAGGAGCAGGAGACGGCGUUGCGCGUCUAUAGCCACCUCAAGAGGUGGGCACCCGGCCCCACCCCCCCCACUCCCUUGGGCCCUGGGGGCCAGGCAGGGUCUCACUGAGCCUCCCCACAGCAUCCUGAAGGACCACUGUGUGCAGCACCUCCCAGACGGCUCUGUGACUGUGGAGUCCAUCCUCAUCCAGGCCGCCGCCCCUUCUGAGGACCCAGGCACCAAGGUGCUGCUGGUCUCCUGGACCUACCAGGAUGAGGAGCUGGGGAGCUUCCUCACAUCUCUGUUGAAGAAGGGCCUCCCCCAGGCCCCCAGCUGAGGCCGGCAGCUCACCCAGCCACCACCUCUGCCCUCUCCCAGCUGGACAGACCGGGGCCUGCACUUCAGGACUGUGGGUGCCCUGGGUGAACAGACCCCACAGGUCCCAUCCCUGGGGACAGAGGCCUUGUGUCACGCGCCUGCCCAGGCAGCUGUUUCCAGCUAAAGAAAUAAACUGGCCUCCGGGCUGUCUUGCCUUUAUUCCUGCUUCUGGGCCCCCAAAUGGUUAGGGCAGGUGAUCCCAGACAGCGGUUUCCAGUAAAAACUGAAC